rnacentral:rRNA from 1 species
CCUACGGGUGGCUGCAGUGGGGAAUAUUGGACAAUGGGCGAAAGCCUGAUCCAGCCAUGCCGCGUGUGUGAAGAAGGCCUUCGGGUUGUAAAGCACUUUCAGUGGGGAAGAAAGCCUUGGGGCUAAUACCCUCGAGGAAGGACAUCACCCACAGAAGAAGCACCGGCUAACUCCGUGCCAGCAGCCGCGGUAAUACGGAGGGUGCGAGCGUUAAUCGGAAUUACUGGGCGUAAAGCGCGCGUAGGCGGUCUGAUAAGCCGGUUGUGAAAGCCCCGGGGUCAACCUGGGAACGGCAUCCGGAACUGUCAGGCUAGAGUGCAGGAGAGGAAGGUAGAAUUCCCGGUGUAGCGGUGAAAUGCGUAGAGAUCGGGAGGAAUACCAGUGGCGAAGGCGGCCUUCUGGACUGACACUGACGCUGAGGUGCGAAAGCGUGGGUAGCAAACAGGAUUAGAUACCCGAGUAGUC